rnacentral:rRNA from 1 species
UACGUAGGGUGCAAGCGUUGUCCGGAAUUAUUGGGCGUAAAAGAGCUCGUAGGCGGUCUGUCGCGUCGGCUGUGAAAUCCCGAGGCUCAACCUCGGGUCUGCAGUCGAUACGGGCAGGCUAGAGUGUGGUAGGGGAGAUCGGAAUUCCUGGUGUAGCGGUGAAAUGCGCAGAUAUCAGGAGGAACACCGGUGGCGAAGGCGGAUCUCUGGGCCAUUACUGACGCUGAGGAGCGAAAGCGUGGGGAGCGAACAGG